rnacentral:rRNA from 1 species
UCGAGAAUCUUCGGCAAUGGGCGCAAGCCUGACCGAGCGACGCCGCGUGCAGGACGAAGGCCUUCGGGUUGUAAACUGCUGUCAGGGGGGAGCAAACCAAUGAGCGAUCCCCAGAGGAAGCACGGGCUAAGUUCGUGCCAGCAGCCGCGGUAAGACGAACCGUGCGAACGUUGUUCGGAAUCACUGGGCUUAAAGGGCGCGUAGGCGGCCCGCAUAGUCAGGGGUGAAAUCUUUCGGCUUAACCGGAAAAGGGCCUCUGAUACUGGCGGGCUGGAGGGAGGUAGGGGCGGGCGGAACUUCCGGUGGAGCGGUGAAAUGUGUUGAUAUCGGAAGGAACGCCGGUGGCGAAAGCGGCCCGCUGGACCUCUUCUGACGCUGAGGCGCGAAAGCCAGGGGAGCGAACGGGAUUAGAUACCCCGGUAGUCCUGGCCCUAAACGAUGGGUACUGAGUAGUGGACUGACAUGGGUUCACUGCUGAAGCAAAAGU